CGACAUCCCUUCCUCGCUUAGUUUUUUAUUACAGAUAUGUGUUUUCUCUAUCGAUUUCUUGUAAAUUUAGUCUGUGCAAACUUGUUUGGUGGAUCCUGACCUUCAGUGAGAGGGCCCUUGCCGAUUUACUAGCUUCCUUUCUGUUUGUAUCCGGUUACGUUUAUAUUUCGGUAAGAAUGUUGGUUGUUAUUCUCUAGGUUGCGGUCCUACAGUGCAACUGUUGAGCUAUUGUGCUUUUUAGAGUCCUUGUGCAUAGUGGUCCUCAGUAUUCAAGCUUUCAAUGGGAGUGUGCAAAAUCCUUUAGGCUGUGAGGCUUGGCACCUCUAGGGUUGCAAAGUUGGUGUCUUUGCCGCCUGACCUUCAUGGCUCUCUUGCCAUUCGG
rnacentral:misc_RNA from 1 species